GAUGAACGCUGGCGGCGUGCCUAAUACAUGCAAGUCGAGCGAACGGACGAGAAGCUUGCUUCUCUGAUGUUAGCGGCGGACGGGUGAGUAACACGUGGAUAACCUACCUAUAAGACUGGGAUAACUUCGGGAAACCGGAGCUAAUACCGGAUAAUAUUUUGAACCGCAUGGUUCAAAAGUGAAAGACGGUCUUGCUGUCACUUAUAGAUGGAUCCGCGCUGCAUUAGCUAGUUGGUAAGGUAACGGCUUACCAAGGCAACGAUGCAUAGCCGACCUGAGAGGGUGAUCGGCCACCCUGGAACGGAGACGCGGUCCAGACUCCUACGGGAGGCAGCAGUAGGGAAUCUGCCGCAAUGGGCGAAAGCCUGACGGAGCAACGCCGCGUGAGUGAUGAAGGUCUUCGGAUCGUAAAACUCUGUUAUUAGGGAAGAACAUAUGUGUAAGUAACUGUGCACAUCUUGACGGUACCUAAUCAGAAAGCCACGGCUAACUACGUG
rnacentral:rRNA from 1 species